CAAGUGGUAAGGCAACGGGUUUUGGUCCCGCUAUUCGGAGGUUCGAAUCCUUCCGUCCCAG
rnacentral:tRNA from 1 species